rnacentral:rRNA from 1 species
UACUAGCGGUCCAAGUCGCAGCCAUUUUUAUUGGGUCUAAAACAUCCGUAGCUUGUUUAGUAAGUUUCCUGUGAAAUCCUGUCUCUCAAGGACAGGGCGAGCAAGAAGUACUGCUGAACUAGAGACUGGAAGACGUGGGAAGUACGUUCGAAGUAGCGGUUAAAUGUUUUAAUCUCGAACGGACUCACAAUAGCGAAGGCAUCCCACGAGGACAGUUCUGACAGUAAGGGAUGAAAGCUAGGGGCGCAAACAGGAUUAGAUACCCUUGUA